CGAAUCAUCAGGAAAUGCUCCAACUUGCUCACCUGCAUGUUUUCUUCUUCCAGCACAGGGGACUUCUUGGGGAAGAUCUGAUUGGCCUGGAUGCACUCCAGACUCUGCUGCCCCUCCUCCUCCUGCAGGGAACCAACAUCAAGACUUCUGUUCUGACUGGCUCCUGUUAAAAACCACCAGAUGUUUUGCUGCUUCAUCAGCUGAAACUAAAAGUUACGUGGAGAAGAUUAGCGGAAGGGACUGCAGGGGGGUGUUGUGUUUGUUUUCCUUGCGUACACAAGACGGAAGUGGAGAGGUCCAAAAAAUAUAACCAAAACGAGAACUAAUAAGUAUAAAUAGUUACAUUUUGUUUGCAACAGAAAAUUUUAAUCUCAAAACUGUGACUUUUGCUUCCAAUAUGGUGGCACAAAAAUCACCAUACCAAACAGCUUUGGAGAAAACCAGGCUAAAAUUCAGCUGUUAUGAACUUUGUGCUACUAAUAUAUCAUUUCCUCGGCCAAUGGUCAUUCAAUUUUGUGUUGCAUCAUUUUGUUUGGAUUUUAAUUAACAAUCACACAAUGGCUUUCUGAAUUUGAACAAAAAAAGGGUUGUUUUGGAGGUUUGAUUUCUUCAGACCUGUGUUUAAAAACGUGGCUCAGUGAGAGGAUCUCCAACGUUAGGAUGAAACGGAUCCAGUUCCCUAAGAAAGAACAAUGGUGAACUCUGAGAGGACCUGGCAGCUACUUCAGGCAUCCCCAGAAAAACUCAAAGAAACCUGAGAUCCAAAGUUCAUACUCAACCACUCCCUUCUUGUUUUAUGACACCUCUUUUCAAAUGUUGAUUUUUUUUGUUUACCUGCAGGUGUGCAGUGAUUUCAGCGUGUUAAGACUCGUGUUUGUAUGCAAUCUUUCAGCUUUUUUGAAAACAGUAAGUCAAUAAAACUACCUGUAUGCAGAAGUUACUUUACUGCCACCCAAACAUAAUAAUUUUCAUGUAAACGUUUGGUUUUGAGUAAUUUAUAAUUAGAAAACUUCUUAAACAAGAAGCACAGAAAAAUAAAAAA